rnacentral:rRNA from 1 species
AUGCUUGCGGCUGAGGCAAACAAGCGGACGGGUGGUUUUAUGCCUUGUCCAUGUGCUAACUAUAAGAAUGAUCUGAAUUACUCUAAGUCAAGAACCAUUCACGGCCACCUGUUUGAGUCUGAUUUCAUGCCCAACUAUAAUGUUUGGACCAAGCACGGAGAAAGAGGGGUUAUGAUGGAGGACAAUGAAGAAGAAGAGGACGACGACAACUAUCCUGACCAUGGGUUCCCUGAAUACAAUGGUACAACAAUGGGGGAAGAAGCUGAAGAAGAGGCAUCAGAUGAGCCCGCUGAUGAUCUAGGUCGGGCCAUUGCCGAUGCAAAGAGAAACUGCGCAAGUGAAAAGAAGAAAAAGAAGUUGCAGCGCAUGUUAGAGGAUCACAAGAAAUUGUUGUACCCGCAUUGCGAAGCUGACAAGAAAAAGUUGGGCACCACACUGGAAUUGCUGCAAUGGAAGGCAGAGAAUGAUGUAUCUGACAAGGGGUUUGGAAAGUUGCUGAUAAUGUUAAAGAAGAUGCUUCCAAAGGACAACAAAUAA